AAACUAACUCUGUACUCGGAGAACUUGAUACAUUGAUGCCGAACUUUCAUUGAGCUUUGUCAGGAGUUGCCGGGUCUCGUUUUCGUCAACUCAUUUCUUUUAAUAGAGUACAGUCUGGACAGAUGGAACACGGCUAAUAACGAUAUAUUUUGCGACCGUAAAGUUUUUCUCGGUGAAAAUUUAAUUAUUGAUCUUUAAAUUAAAUGCUGAAAUCCAAUAAGGAAUUAAGGAAUUUAUAUUGUUCAUUAUCUUUUCGAGAGUAUAAUGAUGUGAUGAGCAUGAAAAUUAGUGCAAUAUAAAAUGAGAUUUUUGCAUGUUUUCCACAUGUUUGUCCGACGAGACGUGAUUGACUAAUCUCGUCAUGACUAAUAAAUUCAAUUAAUCGAUAAUUAAAUUCCCCCGUAAACCUUCUCUAAGGUCAAUCGAUUUCUAGCCACUGGUAUCCAUCUUUUUCCAUGCGCCUCGUAUGCAUCUUGUAGUUUUGUUCGAUUUACACCCUUCCCUCAUUCUUAUUCGAAUGGGCUGAUGAAUAUUCCUUGUGGCCUUGAGCUACUGAUAGAAGUCAAGACGUUAGCGAAUCCACUUACCUACUUACUGAAUAAAUUCUCUCGUUUAGCCAAGAAAAGUGACCUCGUGCUAUUAGAUUAUUGCUACUAUUGUCAUGAUUACAUUUCAUCUUGUUGCUGCCCACUACCCACUACUAUUACUAUUUACUACUGCUACCAUUUACUACUACUAGGUACUACGAUUACUAUUAUUAUAAUGAUUAUUCUUCAUUAUUUUAUUUCAUUAUUAUUAUUGAUAUUAUUAUUAUGUUGAUCAUCUUUAUCGUCAUUGUCAUCAUCGUUAAUCAUUAUCGUCAUCGUUUCCAUUGUCACUAUCAUCAUUCCCAUUGUCCAUAUCCGCGUUUAUCAAUUACGUUGUUAUCGAUGUCAUCAAUAUAUUGACAUGUCGCUGUUGACUGAGAACGGUCGUCGGCCGUGACGGCGGCCAUGACGUUUCAGUAUCGGGGAAACCAGCUGGAUCACACAUCCGCGUUACACAUAAGAGUUAAGAAGAAGGAAUUGACGUACCGAUGUGUUGAGAGAACUUGUUUGUGCCUACGACUUUUCUUGAAACACGGGGGACGCUUUUUAAAAUACACCGCCGCGUUGUUGCGAUGGAUACACGUCGUGGCGAUACUCGUCGUGCGAUCGCAUGUAUUAACUGUGAAUUAUAACGAAUUGAAACUACUCCGCAGAUCUCAUUGUAUUCACAGCCCUCUGCAGGAUGCGAACGAGCGUAGCGUGUUCCCGAAUUCGUUGUAAUCGUGAUUUCGAUUGUCGCGAAGUCCGAUUAUAGUAGUCCUCUUGAAAGGCAUGAAACUGAAGAGGAGAACAGGAAAACGACGAUCGUGCGUUUCACCGACCCGCGGGGACGGGAUAUCGAGACGUCGGAUAUCUGUAAAUAAGUGCUCUCAUUUUGUCCCUCGUCGAGUCCACAAAUUGCAAAUCGAACGCGUCACGAGUCGCGAGAACGUAUAGUGCUAUGUGUAAAGUGAGAGUUCGUGUUCUUCUGAUUUUACUAGGUACUUUUAUUAACUUUAAUUUUGAGUUUUUACAUUAUAGGGGAUGUGAAAGAGCAGCAUUAUAUAAUUGUUAUUGAUAAGCGCUACCGAGAUAAUACUGAACCGUAUCCGUACUAAACAGUCUUAAACUGUUCCAGCCGUGCGUUUAAUCGAAAUGAUUUCUUUAAUAUGUGUACACUGCCUAUUUUUUCUACACGGCGAUCAUGGAUGCACGAUAGUUUUAUCAUCACCAUAUACGGAUCGUAACUAAAUAUACAUUAGAUAAACGUUUUGCCAUAAAUUUCUCAAGCAAAACGCGAAAUGUCUCUUUGUGAAUAUCAUGAUACGAUCAUCACGCUCGCGUAUUACUUACAAUAAUUUCCCAAUUUUCCGCCCGCGUAAUUAAAAAAAAAAGAACGACGUGAAUCGCGCAGAGAAUUUCGCACACAGUUUCCAAAGUGAUAUCAUCAGGCUUCGGUUUCAUGCCUUCCAAAAUGAAAUUAUCAUGUGAGAAAGUGAUCUAUCGCGAUGAACAGUUGAAACAAUUACAUUUUACAUAACAUAUCGAUGAAGUAAGGUUUUUUCUGUCUGUAGACUCUAUAGCGUAUAUAAUGAAAAUUUAGUAACGCGUAAAUGCGAGAAAAUUAUGUGACAUAGCCGAAAUUAUGUGACGUUGCAGUCGAAUUCGUGUUCCACCACCAGUGUGUAUCGAUUAAAAACAAAAAAGAGAGGAAAAGAAAGAAAAAAAAUACGAUAAAAGGAAUAGUAAAGAGAAGCGAAUUUCUUUCGAUACGAAUUAUCUCCUCUGCGAAGAAGAGUGCGACGUUCGCGGACAGCUCUUGUUUCUCGAUCCACGCGCGUUUUCGAUUAUUAAAAAGGACCUUAACGAACAACUGAGAGGAGGGAGAGAAUCAACGGUAUGUGUCCGCGCCUGAUUCUAUUUCGAUGUUCUUGAUAUGCAAACCUACGUCGUUGGAAUUGAUAAUAAAAGCUGGAACCGAAUAUGUACGUGAUCUUCAUCGAGAUUGAUUCUAAAUGCGAAACGGAAGAGAUGAAUCAUCGAGUACAUGCAAUAACGUAAAGAUUUCACUUUGUAACGAACUCUCUCUCUGCUGCGAAUACAUUUGAAUCCAUUAUUUUUCAUGAUGAGGAGAGCCUUACCGUGUCGCGGGGCGUUUCUAGGGAGUUACACGAAGUGACACGUGCGAUUUUCUGCUAAUGGCUCGCGACGAAACGUUCAAGCGACCAAGAGACCAAAUCAGACGAAAUUAUGUACGAAAAUUCGGAGAGCACACGGAGAGCAAGGAUCUCGUCAGCCGUACUGAUUAAACAAGCAGGGACGGUAAACGGCAGGUCGAGCGAGGAGUAAGGAGGCGCGGAGGUGGCGAGUGUGAAGAAACAUGUGUUACGUCCAAUGGUCCACACCUACACGCUAGUCUGGCCGAUGACUUCGUACCACCGCUCCCGCGAUGUUAUAUGCGCAUACGUACUAAUGUAAUACGCCACCGUACCACCACGUUGUAUCCACGUUGAAUACCUUAAAUACCCGGCAACCGCGUCCGAAACACAAACAGGAAACCCAUGUACUUACGGAGCUACUCGCGUACUCGUACCGUAGUAUGUAUACUCUCGUCGUGCAUGCUCUCGUACGAUAAAAGGCGAAAGACGAGAGACGGAAGAGAGGGAGGAACCACUCCGUCGAACGUGUUGAAAAGUGAUACGCUUAAAAAAAAAUCAUAGAGAUCAUAAACUCUACUCUAUGGAUUUCGUCUUUCUCUCUCUUUUUCUCUCUCUCUCUCUCUCUCCCUCUCUCAUUAUCUCUGUAUCUUCUCACUGUCGACACACCGCAAGAGCAUCGUUCCUUUCUUUUGUAAGCUUAGGCCGCAGCUAGGCGAGCGAACAUCGAAAACAAUCAGUCGUUCUACAUUUAUAUCAGCGAACGCAAAAAGAGAAUGAAUGAUCCGACGAAUGCCUGACACCAGACGAUACCCGCGUGUGGAAAGAGAAGUGCGAGUCGAGAGAAGAGUCGUUAUAUACUCCGGGAACGCUUUCCUCCCGGCGAGGCCGGUCCACAGCUUCGCGCGCGAGUCGUAUCCGCCGUGUAUUUGUACAUAAGACACUAGACCGCGAUUGUCGCGUGACGCGUAUGCGUCACGUGUGUAUGCGCGAAUCGUUCUUGCGACUGCGAGUAGAAUUUCGCGCGAUAAAUUCAAUUAGCGAGCGGCGCAUAUGAUUGUAAUUCCCGAUCGGAUGAGGAGAGGACGUGCGUGCGUGUGUGUGUGUGUGCGCGCGAGAGGUCCAUGUGGACGCGACGUAAGAGUAAAGAGAAAGAGUGAGAGAGAAACGUCUCCGAUAUUUAUAUCACUGUCUUGCCACCGGGGAAUCCCGUGCUGUGGCGUAAUUAAUAAUAAAACCCGUUGUGCAAUCAUGUUGCGCAAGGACGUUUAGCCCGUAGUUUUCUAGCUGAUUUUUGAAAGCGCGCGCGCGCAAAGUCACAAUUUUUAAUAUAACACGACUGACUGCUGGUUAAGUAUGGUUGUGAGUCCAAAAAGUCCUGGUCUCCUCGGACAUUGUAGACACACACACACACACAUACACGUGACACACACCACGUACACACAGAACUCAUACAUUUUUUCAGUUCCCUUAGAUAUGUACGGAGAGAAGAGCGAUUGUCGCAUACGCGCUUGGGACGGGAAUUAAGGACUCGCUGUAAUCCAAAAAAACGACCAUCUCCUCCGCUCGAGAGACACUUUUCCUUUUCUUCUUUUUUGUAUAUUUGUAAAUUGGAGUAACGAGCAGAGAGAUCGGGCCAGGAUCGAUGUAUCCUUUCGGUGUCUUUCAUUCCACGACUCGGUCGGUCGAAGAGCGGCGUAUACAGCGAUAAAUGUGAUCGUGCGUAUCUGUGGGAAAAAAAUGAGGCUGCGUAAUUAUCUUGUUGCGUAAAGCGUAACUUCGAGAGAGAGAGAGAGAGAGAAAUUGUGGAUGAUCAUGCGUUUCCCCUCGUGUGUUGUGAUCAUUUAGUUGCAUUGAUACGUUGAUUCUCGGUGAUGUUGGAAAGAUGAUGGGAGACUCCUGAGAUUAAGUUAAUCAGCACUAUAGUUUCUCGCGUAGUGAGGCUUAUGUGUAUACAUUUUUUGACUUACUAUAUGUUCGUACUGUUUUAAUGGACGAAUUGUUGAAAAAAUAAAAUCGCUGAUUGCUACGAUAA